UACAGAGGGGGCAAGCGUUAUUCGGAAUUACUGGGCGUAAAGCGCACGUAGGCGGCUCUUUAAGUCGGAGGUGAAAUCCUGGAGCUCAACUCCAGAACUGCCUUCGAUACUGUAGAGCUUGAGUUCGGGAGAGGUGAGUGGAACUGCGAGUGUAGAGGUGAAAUUCGUAGAUAUUCGCAAGAACACCAGUGGCGAAGGCGGCUCACUGGCCCGAUACUGACGCUGAGGUGCGAAAGCGUGGGGAGCAACCAGG
rnacentral:rRNA from 1 species